rnacentral:rRNA from 1 species
AAAUUCUUGGAUUGCCGAAAGACAAACUGCUGCGAAAGCGUCUGCCAAGGAUGUUUUCAUUGAUCAAGAACGAAAGUAAGGGGAUCGAAGACGAUCAGAUACCGUCGUAGUCUUUACUAUAAACGAUGAGGACUGGGGAUCGGGCGAGGAAUUACGAUGACCCGCCCGGCACCCUUCGAGAAAUCAAAGUGUUUGCUUUCUGGGGGGAGUAUGGUCGCAAGGCUGAAACUUAAAGGAAUUGACGGAAGGGCAUCACCGGGUGUGGAGCCUGCGGCUUAAUUUGACUCAACACGGGAAAACUUACCAGGUCAGGACAUAGUGAGGAUUGACAGAUUGAGAGCUCUUUCUUGAUUCUAUGGUUGGUGGUGCAUGGCCGUUCUUAGUUGGUGGAGUGAUUUGUCUGGUUAAUUCCGUUAACGAGCGAGACCUGGGCGUGCUAACUAGGGGCUACUACCUUUUUGGUAGUACGCUUACCCUUCUUAGACGGACUGUGGGCGUCUAGCCCACGGAAGCUCCAGGCAAUAACAGGUCUGAGAUGCCCUUAGAUGUUCUGGGCCGCACGCGUGCUACACUGAGUGGAUCAACGGGUCAGGUUGCGCGAAAGUGUUUCCUAAUCUUUAAAUCCGCUCGUGAUGGGGAUUGACGGUUGCAAUUUUCCGUCAUGAACGAGGAAUACCUUGUAAGCGUGGGUCAUCAUCCCGCGCUGAAUACGUCCCUGCCCUUUGUACACACCGCCCGUCGCUCCUACCGAUUGAGUGGUCCGGUGAGGCUUUGGGAUCUGGGCGGAAAGAGCGUUUCGCUGUUUCUGCCCGGAAAACUCAGUCGAACCUUAUCAUUUAGAGGAAGGAGAAGUCGUAACAAGGUUUCCGUAGGUGAACCUGCAGAAGGAUCAAGCUA